CCCUUACGACCAGGGCUACACACGUGCUACAAUGGCGCAUACAAAGAGAAGCGACCUCGCGAGAGCAAGCGGACCUCAUAAAGUGCGUCGUAGUCCGGAUUGGAGUCUGCAACUCGACUCCAUGAAGUCGGAAUCGCUAGUAAUCGUGGAUCAGAAUGCCACGGUGAAUACGUUCCCGGGCCUUGUACACACCGCCCGUCACACCAUGGGAGUGGGUUGCAAAAGAAGUAGGUAGCUUAACCUUCGGGAGGGCGCUUACCACUUUGUGAUUCAUGACUGGGGUGAAGUCGUAACAAGGUAACCGUAGGGGAACCUGC
rnacentral:rRNA from 2 species